rnacentral:rRNA from 1 species
GAUGAACGCUGGCGGCGUGCCUAAUACAUGCAAGUCGAGCGAACAGACGAGGAGCUUGCUCCUCUGACGUUAGCGGCGGACGGGUGAGUAACACGUGGAUAACCUACCUAUAAGACUGGGAUAACUUCGGGAAACCGGAGCUAAUACCGGAUAAUAUAUUGAACCGCAUGGUUCAAUAGUGAAAGACGGUUUUGCUGUCACUUAUAGAUGGAUCCGCGCCGCAUUAGCUAGUUGGUAAGGUAACGGCUUACCAAGGCGACGAUGCGUAGCCGACCUGAGAGGGUGAUCGGACACACGGGAACUGAGAAACGGUCCAGACUCCGACGGGAGGCAGCAGUAGGGAAUCUUACGCAAGGGGCGAAAGCCUGACGGAGCAAAGCCGCGUGAGUGAUGAAGGUCUUCGGAUCGUAAAACUCUGUUAGUAGGGAAGAACAAAUGUGUAAGUAACUAUGCACGUAUUGACGGUACCUAAUCAGAAAGCCACGGCUAACUACGUG